GAAAGUAGGAAAGGGCGCAUGGCGGAUGCCUUGGCUCUCGGAGGCGAUGAAGGACGUGAUAAGCUGCGAUAAGUCACGGGGAGGUGCAAAUAACCUUUGAUCCGUGAAUCUCCGAAUGGGACAACCCGAUAUCCUGAAGGGAUAUCACCUUACAUAGUAAGGAGCUAACGCAGGGAACUGAAACAUCUUAGUACCUGCAGGAAAAGAAAAUAACAAUGAUUCCCCCAGUAGUGGCGAGCGAACGGGGAAGAGCCCAAACCACACAUGUUACGGCAUGUGUGGGGUUGUAGGACCACGGCGUUGCAAGAAAUCUUGUGAGAAGAACAGCCUGGAAAGACUGACCAUAGACGGUGACAGUCCGGUAUUCGAAGCAAGACGAAGCAUAGUGGUAUCCUGAGUAGCGCGGAACACGAGGAAUUCUGCGUGAAUCUGCCGGGACCAUCCGGUAAGGCUAAAUACUCCCGAGAGACCGAUAGCGAACCAGUACCGUGAGGGAAAGGUGAAAAGCACUUCGAACAGAAGAGUGAAAUAGUACCUGAAACCGUGCGCCUACAAGCGGUCGGAGCACGAAAGUGUGACGGCGUGCCUUUUGCAUAAUGAACCUACGAGUUACCGUAUUUGGCAAGGUUAAGGGUCAUGAGGCCUGCAGCCGAAGCGAAAGCGAGUCUGAACAGGGCGUCAAGUCAGAUGCGGUAGACGCGAAACCAAGUGAUCUACCCUUGGCCAGGAUGAAGUCUGGGUAACACCAGAUGGAGGUCCGCACCAAUAAGCGUUGAAAAGCUUCUGGAUGAGCUGAGGGUAGGGGUGAAAGGCUAAUCAAACUUGGAGAUAGCUCGUACUCCCCGAAAUGCAUUUAGGUGCAGCCUCGCGGGUUACUGAUGUGAGGUAGAGCGACUGAUUGGAUGCGAGGGCUUCACCGCCUAUCAAGUCCUGACAAACUCCGAAUGCGCAUCAGUUUUACCGCGGGAGUGAGGGCAUGGGUGCUAAGGUCCGUGCCCGAGAGGAGAAGAAUCCGGACUAUCAGCUAAGGCCCCGAAAUGACAGCUAAGUUAAACUAACGAAGUCUGAUUGCUAAGACAGCUAGGAUGUUGGCUUGGAAGCAGCCAUUCAUUUAAAGAGUGCGUAACAGCUCACUAGUCGAGGAAUCGGGCGUGGAUAAUAAUCGGGUAUUAAGUUGUCUGCCGAAGCUAUAGAAUCAGCAAUGAUUGGUAGGGGAGCAUUCCAUUCGGCGUUGAAGGCGUGGCGUGAGCCAUUCUGGAGCGUAUGGAAAAGCAAAUGUAGGUAUAAGUAACGAUAAAGGGGGUGAGAAACCCCCUCGCCGAAAGACUAAGGUUUCCUGAUCAACGCUAAUCGGAUCAGGGUCAGUCGGGUCCUAAGGCUCAGCCGAACGGCGAGGCCGAUGGCAGAAACGGUUAAUAUUCCGUUACUACCUUUGAGGGUGACGUGGGGAAGCAGUAGUGACACUGCCGCGGGCUGACGGAAUAGCCCGUUAAAGAGUGUAGGCGUUGAUUUCCGCAGGCAAAUCCACGGAAAGAGCCGAACUUGACAGUAUGGAGCGUCCUUCGGGACAAUCCAACAGCGCAGGUAAUCAGACUGCCGAGAAAAUCCGCUAAACAUAACUUCAGAGGUACCCGUACCGCAAACGGACACACGUAGUCGGGUUGAAUAUACUAAGGCGCUUGAGUGAAUCACGGUUAAGGAACUAGGCAAACUGACCCUGUAACUUCGGGAUAAAGGGUCCCUACCCAGAAAUGGGAGGGCGCAGAGAAUAGGUCCAGGCAACUGUUUAACAAAAACACAGGGCUGUGCCAAUAUGAAAGUAGACGUAUACAGCCUGACACCUGCCCGGUGCUGGAAGGUUAAGAGGAGAUGUCAUCGCAAGAGAAGCAUUGAAUUGAAGCCCCAGUAAACGGCGGCCGUAACUAUAACGGUCCUAAGGUAGCGAAAUUCCUUGUCGGGUAAGUUCC
rnacentral:rRNA from 1 species